rnacentral:rRNA from 1 species
GGGAACGUCUGACACAGGUGCUGCAUGGCUGUCGUCAGCUCGUGUCGUGAGAUGUUGGGUUAAGUCCGUAACGAGCGCAACCCUUGUCCUUAGUUACCAGCACGUUAUGGUGGGCACUCUAAGGAGACUGCCGGUGGACAAACCGGAGGAAGGUGGGGAGUGACGUCAAGUCAUCAUGGCCCUUACGGCCUGGGCUACACACGUGCUACAAUGGUCGGUACAAAGGGUUGCCAAGCCGCGAGGUGGAGCUAAUCCCAUAAAACCGAUCGUAGUCCGGAUCGCAGUCUGCAACUCGACUGCGUGAAGUCGGAAUCGCUAGUAAUCGUGAAUCAGAAUGUCACGGUGAAUACGUUCCCGGGCCUU